rnacentral:rRNA from 1 species
UAGGGAAUAUUGCUCAAUGGGGGAAACCCUGAAGCAGCAACGCCGCGUGGAGGAUGAAGGUUUUAGGAUUGUAAACUCCUUUUGUUAGAGAAGAUUAUGACGGUAUCUAACGAAUAAGCACCGGCUAACUCCGUGCCAGCAGCCGCGGUAAUACGGAGGGUGCAAGCGUUACUCGGAAUCACUGGGCGUAAAGAGUGCGUAGGCGGGGUAAUAAGUCAGAUGUGAAAUCCUGUAGCUUAACUACAGAACUGCAUUUGAAACUGUUACUCUGGAGUGUGGGAGAGGUAGGUGGAAUUCUUGGUGUAGGGGUAAAAUCCGUAGAGAUCAAGAGGAAUACUCAUUGCGAAGGCGACCUGCUGGAACAUUACUGACGCUGAUGCACGAAAGCGUGGGGAGCAAACAGG